GGGGCAGUGGCGUAGUUGGGAGCGCGUCAGACUGAAGCUUUAACUUCAUCACAAAGGAUAUCUGUUCAUCCUAUCUGAAGGCCACCGGUUCGAUCCCGGUCUACCCCA
rfam:Aspergillus zonatus CBS 506.65 unplaced genomic scaffold ASPZOscaffold_13, whole genome shotgun sequence.